rnacentral:rRNA from 1 species
UACGUAGGGUGCAAGCGUUAAUCGGAAUUACUGGGCGUAAAGCGUGCGCAGGCGGUUUUGUAAGUCUGUCGUGAAAUCCCCGGGCUUAACCUGGGAAUUGCGAUGGAGACUGCAAGGCUGGAGUCUGGCAGAGGGGGGGGUAGAAUUCCACGUGUAGCAGUGAAAUGCGUAGAGAUGUGGAGGAACACCGAUGGCGAAGGCAGCCCCCUGGGUCAAGACUGACGCUCAUGCACGAAAGCGUGGGGAGCAAACAGGAUUACGAAACC